GCAAGUCGAGGGGUAACGUGGAGAGCUUGCUUUCUGACGACGACCGGCGCACGGGUGCGGAACGCGUAUGGAACCUACCUUUAUCAGGAGAAUAGCCCAGAGAAAUUUGGAUUAAUGCUCCAUAGUAUUGGAUUAACACAUGUUAAUUUAAUUAAAGAUUUAUCGGAUAGAGAUGGCCAUGCGUACCAUUAGUUAGUUGGUAAGGUAACGGCUUACCAUGGCUACGAUAGGUAGGGGCCCUGAGAGGGGGAUC
rnacentral:rRNA from 1 species